ACAUCUCUAGGAUGUUCGCCAGUCUAUCGCGUCCCCUGAGCCGAUAAUUUUUCUUUAGGAAAUAAUGUUGUGUGGCAGUGUGCAGGUCUGCCUAGUCGAAAGACUUUGUACAGAAAGCCUUAUACUACAUACUUAUUUCCACCUUGAACCUCUGGGUUCAAGGGUCUAGAUGGAUAGCGGCAUUCUGGAGUAUCU
rnacentral:other from 1 species